UGUGGCUCAGUGGUAGAAUGCUUGCCUAGCAUGCAGUAGACCCUGGGUUCAAUUCCCAGCA
rnacentral:tRNA from 1 species